rnacentral:rRNA from 1 species
UACGAAGGGGGCUAGCGUUGCUCGGAAUCACUGGGCGUAAAGGGUGCGUAGGCGGGUCUUUUAAGUCAGGGGUGAAAUCCUGGAGCUCAACUCCAGAACUGCCUUUGAUACUGAAGAUCUUGAGUUCGGGAGAGGUGAGUGGAACUGCGAGUGUAGAGGUGAAAUUCGUAGAUAUUCGCAAGAACACCAGUGGCGAAGGCGGCUUACUACACAGUAAUUGACACUGAGGCACGAAAGCGUGGGGAUCAAACAGG